rnacentral:misc_RNA from 1 species
CCUGCUGUAUCCCAGAUUUGCAAUUUAAUACGUUUACCAUCAAGCUCGAUUGUUCUAAUUUUAAAGUCAAUACCAAUUGUGGUAAUGAAACUGGUUGUGAAGGAACCGUCAGAGAAGCGCAGCAGCAGACAACUCUUCCCGACACCGCUAUCCCCAAUCAAGAGAAGCUUAAUCAAGUAAUCAUAAUCAGCACGAGCCCUUGCUGGUGGUGCGGCCAUCGUUUCUCUUCCAAAUCAAUUCGACCCACAAAUCAAAUUCCCUCUCUGCACAAACAAAAACUACAGAAACAGAGAGAGAGCGACCUAUGUAAGAUCAAAAUCAGAGAGGGAGAGAGCAACCUUAGGUUUACCAAGCAAGAGAGAGCGA